rnacentral:rRNA from 1 species
UGGGUAGUCCGUACGAGCGCACCCUAUCCUUAGUUGCCAGCGAGUAUGUCGGGAACUCUAGGGAGACUGCCGGUGACAAACCGGAGGAAGGUGGGGACGACGUCAAGUCAUCAUGGCCCUUAUGGGCAGGGCUACACACGUGCUACAAUGGCCGGCACAGAGGGCUGCGAAGUCGCAAGGCGGAGCGAAUCUCAGAAAACCGGUCGUAGUCCGGAUUGCAGUCUGCAACUCGACUGCAUGAAGUUGGAAUCGCUAGUAAUCGCGGAUCAGAAUGCCGCGGUGAAUACGUUCCCGGGCCUUGUACACACCGCCCGUCACACCAUGGGAGUGGGCUGUACCAGAAGUAGGUAGUCUAACCUUUGGGGGGACGCUUACCACGGUGUGGUUCAUGACUGGGGUGAAGUCGUAACAAGGUAGCCCUAGGGGAACCUGGGGCUGGAUCACCUCCUU